rnacentral:rRNA from 3 species
UUCCCUUAGUAGCGGCGAGCGAAGCGGGAUGAGCUCAAAUUUGAAAUCUGGCGUCUUUCAGGCGUCCGAGUUGUAAUCUAUAGAAGCGUUUUCUAUGCUGGACCGUGUCCAAGUCCCUUGGAACAGGGUAUCAAAGAGGGUGACAAUCCCGUACUUGACACGACCACCAGUGUUCUGUGAUACGUUUUCUACGAGUCGAGUUGUUUGGGAAUGCAGCUCAAAAUGGGUGGUAAAUUCCAUCUAAAGCUAAAUAUUGGCGAGAGACCGAUAGCGAACAAGUACCGUGAGGGAAAGAUGAAAAGCACUUUGGAAAGAGAGUUAAACAGUACGUGAAAUUGUUGAAAGGGAAACGAUUGAAGUCAGUCGUGUCUAUUGGUUUCAGCCGGUUCUGCCGGUGUAUUACCUUUAGACGGGUCAACAUCAGUUUUGGACGGCAGAUAAGAGCAGUUUGAAUGUAGCACCUCCGGGUGUGUUAUAGCUUUCUGUUGCAUAUGCUGUCUGAGACUGAGGACUGCAGCUCGCCUUUUAGGCCGGGGUU